AUUGAACGCUGGCGGCAUGCCUUACACAUGCAAGUCGAACGGUAACAGGUCUUCGGAUGCUGACGAGUGGCGAACGGGUGAGUAAUACAUCGGAACGUGCCCGAUCGUGGGGGAUAACGAGGCGAAAGCUUUGCUAAUACCGCAUACGAUCUACGGAUGAAAGCGGGGGAUCUUCGGACCUCGCGCGGACGGAGCGGCCGAUGGCAGGUUAGGUAGUUGGUGGGAUAAAAGCUUACCAAGCCGACGAUCUGUAGCUGGUCUGAGAGGAUGAUCAGCCACACUGGGACUGAGACACGGCCCAGACUCCUACGGGAGGCAGCAGUGGGGAAUUUUGGACAAUGGGCGAAAGCCUGAUCCAGCCAUGCCGCGUGCAGGAUGAAGGCCUUCGGGUUGUAAACUGCUUUUGUACGGAACGAAAAGCCUCUUUCUAAUAAAGAGGGGUCAUGACGGUACCGUAAGAAUAAGCACCGGCUAACUACGUGCCAGCAGCCGCCGUAAGAC
rnacentral:rRNA from 1 species